rnacentral:rRNA from 1 species
CUGGCUCAGGAUGAACGCUGGCGGCGUGCCUAAUACAUGCAAGUCGAACGCUUCACUUCGGUGAAGAGUGGCGAACGGGUGAGUAAUACAUAAGUAACCUGGCAUCUACAGGGGGAUAACUGAUGGAAACGUCAGCUAAGACCGCAUAGGUGUAGAGAUCGCAUGAACUCUAUAUGAAAAGUGCUACGGGACUGGUAGAUGAUGGACUUAUGGCGCAUUAGCUUGUUGGUAGGGUAACGGCCUACCAAGGCGACGAUGCGUAGCCGACCUGAGAGGGUGACCGGCCACACUGGGACUGAGACACGGCCCAGACUCCUACGGGAGGCAGCAGUAGGGAAUUUUCGGCAAUGGGGGAAACCCUGACCGAGCAACGCCGCGUGAAGGAAGAAGUAAUUCGUUAUGUAAACUUCUGUCAUAGAGGAAGAACGGUGGAUAUAGGGAAUGAUAUCCAAGUGACGGUACUCUAUAAGAAAGCCACGGCUAACUACGUGCCAGCAGCCGCGGUAAUACGUAGGUGGCGAGCGUUAUCCGGAAUUAUUGGGCGUAAAGAGGGAGCAGGCGGCACUAAGGGUCUGUGGUGAAAGAUCGAAGCUUAACUUCGGUAAGCCAUGGAAACCGUAGAGCUAGAGUGUGUGAGAGGAUCGUGGAAUUCCAUGUGUAGCGGUGAAAUGCGUAGAUAUAUGGAGGAACACCAGUGGCGAAGGCGACGAUCUGGCGCAUAACUGACGCUCAGUCCCGAAAGCGUGGGGAGCAAAUAGGAUUAGAUACCCUAGUAGUCCACGCCGUAAACGAUGAGUACUAAGUGUUGGGUGUCAAAGCUCAGUGCUGCAGUUAACGCAAUAAGUACUCCGCCUGAGUAGUACGUUCGCAAGAAUGAAACUCAAAGGAAU